rnacentral:rRNA from 1 species
AUUGAACGCUGGCGGCAUGCUUUACACAUGCCAGUCGAACGGUAACAGCACUUCGGUGGCUGACGAGUGGCGAACGGGUGAGUAAUACAUCGGAACGUGCCUAGUAGUUGGGGAUAACUACUCGAAAGAGUAGCUAAUACCUCAUGAGAUCUAAGGAUGAAAGCAGGGGACCUUCGGGCCUUGCGCUACUAGAGCGGCUGAUGGCAGAUUAGUUAGUUGGUGGGAUAAAAGCUUACCAAGCCGACGAUCUGUAGCUGGUCUGAGAGGACGACCAGCCACACUGGGACUGAGACACGGCCCAGACUCCUACGGGAGGCAGCAGUGGGGAAUUUUGGACAAUGGGCGCAAGCCUGAUCCAGCAAUGCCGCGUGCAGGAUGAAGGCCUUCGGGUUGUAAACUGCUUUUGUACGGAACGAAAAGCCCUCUUCUAAUACAGGAGGGUCAUGACGGUACCGUAAGAAUAAGCACCGGCUAACUACGUG